rnacentral:rRNA from 1 species
UUCUGUAAGCCUGUGAAGGUGAGUUGAGAAGCUUGCUGGAGGUAUCAGAAGUGCGAAUGCUGACAUGAGUAACGACAAUGGGUGUGAAAAACACCCACGCCGAAAGACCAAGGGUUCCUGCGCAACGUUAAUCGACGCAGGGUUAGUCGGUUCCUAAGGCGAGGCUGAAAAGCGUAGUCGAUGGGAAACAGGUUAAUAUUCCUGUACUUCUGGUUACUGCGAUGGAGGGACGGAGAAGGCUAGGCCAGCUUGGCGUUGGUUGUCCAAGUUUAAGGUGGUAGGCUGAAAUCUUAGGUAAAUCCGGGGUUUCAAGGCCGAGAGCUGAUGACGAGUCGUCUUUUAGAUGACGAAGUGGUUGAUGCCAUGCUUCCAAGAAAAGCUUCUAAGCUUCAGGUAACCAGGAACCGUACCCCAAACCGACACAGGUGGUCGGGUAGAGAAUACCAAGGCGCUUGAGAGAACUCGGGUGAAGGAACUAGGCAAAAUGGCACCGUAACUUCGGGAGAAGGUGCGCCGGCUAGGGUGAAGGAUUUACUCCGUAAGCUCUGGCUGGUCGAAGAUACCAGGCCGCUGCGACUGUUUAUUAAAAACACAGCACUCUGCAAACACGAAAGUGGACGUAUAGGGUGUGACGCCUGCCCGGUGCCGGAAGGUUAAUUGAUGGGGUUAGCGCAAGCGAAGCUCUUGAUCGAAGCCCCGGUAAACGGCGGCCGUAACUAUAACGGUCCUAAGGUAGCGAAAUUCCUUGUCGGGUAAGUUCCGACCUGCACGAAUGGCGUAACGAUGGCGGCGCUGUCUCCACCCGAGACUCAGUGAAAUUGAAAUCGCUGUGAAGAUGCAGUGUAUCCGCGGCUAGACGGAAAGACCCCGUGAACCUUUACUGUAGCUUUGCACUGGACUUUGAGCCUGCUUGUGUAGGAUAGGUGGGAGGCUUUGAAGCGUGGACGCCAGUUCGCGUGGAGCCAUCCUUGAAAUACCACCCUGGCAUGCUUGAGGUUCUAACUCUGGUCCGUAAUCCGGAUCGAGGACAGUGUAUGGUGGGCAGUUUGACUGGGGCGGUCUCCUCCUAAAGAGUAACGGAGGAGUACGAAGGUGCGCUC